AAGUAACCCUGCCUACACACUAAAACUGGAAUACAGAAAAGAUGAGCAUGGCACCCACAUAAGGAUGACGUCCAAGUUUAUGGAGCAGUCAUAUUUUAA
rnacentral:snRNA from 1 species